CCUACGGGGGGCAGCAGUGGGGAAUAUUGGACAAUGGGCGAAAGCCUGAUCCAGCCAUGCCGCGUGUGUGAAGAAGGCCUUCGGGUUGUAAAGCACUUUCAGUGGGGAAGAAAGCCUUGGGGCUAAUACCCUCGAGGAAGGACAUCACCCACAGAAGAAGCACCGGCUAACUCCGUGCCAGCAGCCGCGGUAAUACGGAGGGUGCGAGCGUUAAUCGGAAUUACUGGGCGUAAAGCGCGCGUAGGCGGUCUGAUAAGCCGGUUGUGAAAGCCCCGGGCUCAACCUGGGAACGGCAUCCGGAACUGUCAGGAUAGAGUGCAGGAGAGGAAGGUAGAAUUCCCGGUGUAGCGGUGAAAUGCGUAGAGAUCGGGAGGAAUACCAGUGGCGAAGGCGGUCUUCUGGACUGACACUGACGCUGAGGUGCGAAAGCGUGGGUAGCAAACAGGAUUAGAUACCCUUGUAGUC
rnacentral:rRNA from 1 species